AGUACUUGAUGAUUUGCAUGUAAAUAAAAUAAUAAGACUCCGGUGAUGUUAUCUGAAAACAAAAAAAAAAAGAAAUGGAAUAAAGCUUGAAUGAUUCGAAAUAUGUAUAUGUAUUGACAUGCAUAAUGCAUCAAGUGUCUCGUUAGACUUUUUAUCUUUAAGGGGCAUCUGUUUCCCCAUCUCCCAUAUGGUCUGGAAAGAUAUGAGAGAACCGCUCUCUAUUGAUGACGACGUAUCCUCUGACGAAAGUGGUGACGUGAAUAUCUGUUAGGGAUCACCUUUAACUAAGUACUAUUGUAGCUAUAAAAUAUCAGAUAGGACCACUAUGGUCAUAAUCGUACCAUAGUU
rnacentral:lncRNA from 1 species